rnacentral:sRNA from 1 species
CUCUUACUUGGACAAGACGAAAACUCUGUUGUAGAGAGUUUUACUGCAUCUGUAGAUCGGAAAUUCAUCUCUUUGAUGUCAUUAAGCUCUGAUGGUUGUAUAUAUGAAACCUUGAUACCAAUACGUCCAACUGACCCAGAAAAAAAUCAGAGCUUAGUUAGAUCACUGCUGCUCAAGGCUGUUGUAUCUGAUAACACUCAAAAUGGAGUUGCACUCACUGCCCUGGAUCAGGAUCACGUCGCAGUCCUAGGAAGUCCACUAGCAGCUUCUAAGGGUAACUGACAUCCAAUUCAUUAAGAAGGCCUUUGUAUGUUUCCUUCACGGUGUACCUUUUAGUCUUCC